ensembl:lncRNA
AUGAUGGGACAAAGAGGGCAGGAGAAUCUCAGUGAAAUUGAGGAAAACUGGUGCUUGCGUGUGUGUGCACGCAUACACAUAUGGACGCACCUGCACACUUGCAAGGGAAUGUGGAGAACAGGGAGGGAAACUGUAGGGAGGGAGAUUAAAGGAAAAUAGGGGGUUCAGAAGGGAGUCUGAGCAGGUUUUGUGGAGCAUGGGGCAAGGUGGUUGUUCAGCCUCCCUUUCAACCGAUGGCAUUUCUGUGUUGGAUGUGGAAGGGGUAAGAGUGAGUUAACAACUGGCACCAGUGGAUGCAGCAGGUAUUAGGGAGAGUGGUUCCUGAUUUUAAAGGAAAAACUGUUAGUUCAUGAGAGAUGGCUGUAGAUGGCAUGAUACUCUCUUGCAUGAAUCUUUUGUAAGACAUGAGAUUUGGCAGGAUUAUAACAAAUUAAUGGAUGAUUGCUCUAGUCUAGUCUGUUUUGUAUUCUAGCCUGAGUCAUCCAUUUAAGUAUUGGUGAGGUUUGUUAAGGUCAAACUUCCUUCUAGUAUUGAAUUGCAUUGUUCUCCAGCUAUUCUCUAUUCCCAUUUAAAAAGUAAUGGACAGUUCAUGAAUGGAUCCUUUUUCCAAAAAGACAUUUGAUACAGAAUUCCAAAUGCAUAUUUGGGCAUAUUUAGCAACCGGGUAGGGUUUCAUCCUCCUUUUAUGUGUUACAAUUGCAACUGGAAAAGUAUGAUGGUAAAGGUGGUAACUAUACCAGAGAAACAGAACUGAGUUUCUGUUUGCCUAGCAGAAAAAAUGAUUAAACAUAUUAUAGAGUUAGUUAUAGCCUUACUCCAUUACAAGCAAUUUAGAGUCCCUUCAGUGCACAGUCCUAGGGAGCACAACUGACCCUUGAUAUAAAUUAAUGUUUGCAAUCUUGGAAAAACAUGGCCAUUUAGAAUUACUACUCUAUUAAAAGGUGGUUUGUGAGCAGUGUGAUUUUUUCCCCCUUGGAGAAAGCUGGAAAUAGUUCAGGAAAGUAACCACAUUUUGUGAAGUGAAAUUGUAUACAAACAUUCAACAUAAGUAACAGAGUCUAAUUACAGAUUUGAAGUGGAGAGGUGGAUUAGAUAACACAGUCAUGAAAGUAAAUGUAGGGCAGAUGAAGGCAUCUAAAAGUGCCUAUUCUCACCGGAUGUUGAUGUUUAGCUUCAAAUUUUACAGUAUUUCUGAAGACCUAAAUCUCAGAAUAGAUUUCUAGCUGCACUUCCCUUCUCACGCUAUUUAGGCCAAGGAUCCCCCUAGAAGACUUCUAAAGAGGGCUUACCUGAAGAGGUCUCUGGGGUUAUGUCUACACUGCAAUUAAACACCAGUGGCUGGCCCGUGUUAGCUGACUCGGGCUUGCAGGGCUCAGACUGUAAAACUGAGGUGUAGACACUGGCUUGGGCUGGAGCUCAGGCCCCAUUGAGGGUCCCAGAGGUCAGGCUCCAGCCCAAGCCCUGAACAUCUAAACUGCAAUUUUACAGCCCCACAGCCCAAGCCUUGUGAGCCUGAGUCAGUUGACAUGGGCCAGCCGAGGGUGUUUAAUUGCAGUGUAGACAUAACCUGAUAUUGCAAGACCCACCUUCCUGUUAAUUACCACUAGCAACAACAUUUCAUUAUCCAGCCAGUAGGAGGUGUUCUUGUAACAGCAAAAAGCUGAAGGCCUUGUCAAACUUGCCAGCUGGAACAGAAAACUAUUCUGUCACUCAUGUAGCCCAAUGUCUUGUAUUUCAAAAAUAACAAGCACAAAAAAAUUGCACAGUCUAAUUGUUUUUAUCAGCAACACCAGCUUUAAUUCAGUGCAAGUAUUAUAGCCAUCUAAUUUUCAAACUUGCUCAGCUAUUUCCUGGAGCAGCUGCAAUUCAAACAUUUCUAAGUUAGUUAGAGGUUGUAUCCUAAUGUUGAGAGGAUUGACAAAUAGUUUUGGGGUGGUUUUUUCAGUGUGGGGUGCUGAAGGAAUGAAGGCAGAACUUAAUAUAUUUAACAUUGCAAUUGCCACUUAAAAAAUGAAUUAAUUAUUGACUGAAUCUUUACUUCCAGAAUUUGAAUAUUUUUAUCUUGACUCCUCUUGAUAUCUCUUAGUGUUAGACAUUGUAUGCCAGCAUAACACAUUUUAAUCUGUUUAUGGAACCACUUAGCUCUUUAGUAGAUUUUCCUUUAAAUAAUCCAGGGUGGUUUUGUUUGUUUCUCGAGAAUUUAACCCCAAGUCUUUUCUUUUUUUUAUCUUGGUAUUCACAAAAGUUCAUCAUUUAGGGUCUGGUCAUGCUCCCAUUGAAAUAAAUGACAAACUCCCACUAACUUUAAUAGGAAU